rnacentral:rRNA from 1 species
UACGGGGGGGGCAAGCGUUGUUCGGAAUUACUGGGCGUAAAGGGCUCGUAGGCGGCCAACUAAGUCAGACGUGAAAUCCCUCGGCUUAACCGGGGAACUGCGUCUGAUACUGGAUGGCUUGAGAUUGGGAGAGGGAUGCGGAAUUCCAGGUGUAGCGGUGAAAUGCGUAGAUAUCUGGAGGAACACUGGUGGCGAAGGCGACAUCCUGGACCAACACUGACGCUGAGGAGCGAAAGCCAGGGGAGCAAACGGG